AUACAAGAGAGUAGGUAUGCGGAAGUGAAAAAAAUAAAGAAAAGAUGGAAAUGUGAUGUAUUUUUGUGAGGCCCAUUAGAGGAGAAAUAGUUGAUUUGGUUUUUGUUACCUUGGUAUGUAUAAGAUAUAUAUAUAUAUGUAUGUUGUCUGCUAAAAGAGAUGCACCAGCCGUGGGAAAAGAAGAAAAUAGGUGGAUGAUGAAAAUGAAAAAUAAAGAAAUAAUGGUGAUAAAGUGAUGGGACCACUAGGAAUUGUUUGGCCAAGAAAUUCCUUGGUGUUUGGCUAUGUAACGUGGCUUUGUGUAGGUGUCAAAAUUCUUUAGGCUUGGUUCAUGCACAUGGCUAAUAUAAUUUAUUUCUAAGGUGUAUCAUCAGAUGGAAGAGGAUAAGGGGCAGCGAAAUGGGAAAGCAAAAAGGAAAUGAUUAUUGUGUGGGCUCCACUUGAAGACAAAGUGAUUAGAUAAUUAUAUAUGGGCUGAUAUUUGUUGAGUGUCGGCACACUUGUCUAUAUAUUGAAUGUUUGGUGCACCUAGUAUGUAUUAGAGAUACAAAGAAUUGAGUAGAGAUGGAGAGAAAAAUUAGAGAAAUGCACAGACAGAGAGAUGGCCGAGAUUUUUGGUGCUCAGAUGAUCCAUGAUAAUUCUUUUGCAGUGUACCAAGGAUGCUUGAGGAUUUUUAGCUGCGGGUUUAGGUAGAAGAAUUGGUGUUGAGGAAUUAGAUUAUUUUAUUUGGAGAUUUUUAUGUAUUUAUUUGAGGAAAUUAAUUUAGUAUUAAUUUAUUUAUUUUGAGAGAUGUUGUAUUCAUUUUUGAGGAAUUGAUUCUGUAUCAAUAAAGGGUAUUUUAUUUCUUUUGA